CCCCCUCUGAGCGGGGCCGCUGCGGCCCUCAGCCAGCCGGACAUCCACAGGCUCAACUCUCCUGAAAACCAAACACACACACAGCAGUCACACAACCAAACACACAUAGCAGUCACACAACCAAACAGUCACACAAAACCAAACACACACACAGCAGUAACACACAACCAAACACACACACAGCAGUCACACAAAACCAAACACACAGUAGUCAAACAACCAAACACACACACACAGCAGUCACACAAAACCAAACACACACACACACACAGCAGUCACACAACCAAACACCAACACAGUAGUCACACAAAACCAAAAACACAGCAAUCACACAACCUCCUCAUCUCAUCCUCAAACCGCUUAUCCGGGGUCGGGUCAAGGGGGCAGCAGCUCUAGCAGGGGGCCCCAAACUUCCCUUUCUCGGUCCACAUUGACCAGCUCUGACGGGGGGAUCCCGAGGCGUUCCCAGGCCAGUGUUGAGAUAUAAUCUUUCCACCUAGUCCUUGGUAUUCCGCGAGGUCUCCUCCCCGCUGGACUUGCCUGGAAGAACUCCCUAGGGAGGCGCCCAGGGGCAUCCUUACAAGAUGAACCACAUCAACUGUCAGACGACCCGGUCGACUGAUCCUCGUUGUUCACUAAACUCUGCAGACGCGAUUGGACGUGACGUCCCUCCCUGUGGUACUAGAGUCAUCUUCCUCCCUGUGGUACUAUACUCCUCUUCCUCCCUGUGGUACUAGACUCCUCUUCCUCCCGGUGGUACUAGACUCCUCUUCCCCCCCACUGUGGUACUAGACUUCUCUUCCUCCCUGUGGUACUAGACUCCUCUUCCUCCCUGUGGUACUAGACUCCUCUUCCUCCCUGUGGUACUAGACUCCUCUUCCUCCCUGUGGUACUAGACUCCUCUUCCCCCGCUGUGGUUCUAGACUCCUGUUCCUCCCUUUGGUACUAGACUCCUCUUCCUCCCUGUGGUACUAGACUCCUCAUCCUCCCUGUGGUACUAGACUCCUCUACCCCCCGCUGUGGUAAUAGACUCCUCUUCCUCUGUUUUGGGGUGUUUUAAAGGACGCACAGAGGUCACCAGAACUGUGACCUCUCUUAUACGAUGAAUCACUAUGAGUCACAGAUAUCACCGUAGGGGCCGUUCAGACUUGGUUUAGACCAAGUUAUACAUAGUGUGUUUAGUGUCAGAGGUGGAUCUGUGAGUAGGAGGAGCAGCAGGCCUGCUGUAUGGAUGCACUUAUAUUCAUUAUUUAUACUGCAAGAGGAGACUCAUGGAUAUGAACGACGUGUAGAUCUGUUCAAAGCACAAUGAUUCAUAUGUGAGGAACAGUUCUAGGGGUCUAAGUAUAGACCAGAUCCCUGAGCUUCAAGCUGGAGGGUCUAACCAGACUUCACCAGAUGACCAAUCCUCUUUACAUGUUAACUAAUGUCCACUAUCUGAGCUGUGGUGUGCAGCAGUGCACGUCCACGCCGGGUGACUGACACGCCGUGAUGUGUGUGAGUGCAGCAGACACACACAUCAUCUGACACUGACACACCACACUGGCUGCAGCCAGGGUUGCCAGAUUGGACGCGAAAUAUGGCCCAAUCUGGCAACACUGUCCAGAAUAGACUAUGCUAUGCUACCGGUUUAGCUCGACUCCCCGGAGCGACGGACUUUGAGUCGUGCUGAUACAACGGGCCGCUCUUCCCUCUCCUCGGGGAGCGGGUCUGGUAGAGCUGUAGAGUUACCUGGACAGAGUAGCGGAUCGCUGGAUUCCUCCUGAUGUGAUUGUUGAAACAAACACGGGACAUUCAACAGACGGAUCAAAAA